GCAGACCACUCCUACGGGAGGCAGCAGUGGGGGAAUAUUGCACAAUGGGCGCAAGCCUGAUGCAGCCAUGCCGCGUGUAUGAAGAAGGCCUUCGGGUUGUAAAGUACUUUCAGCAGUGAGGAAGGUGGGGUAUGUUAAUAGCAUACUCAUUUGACGUUAGCUGCAGAAGAAGCACCGGCUAACUCCGUGCCAGCAGCCGCGGUAAUACGGAGGGUGCGAGCGUUAAUCGGAAUUACUGGGCGUAAAGCGCAUGCAGGUGGUUUGUUAAGUCAGAUGUGAAAGCCCGGGGCUCAACCUCGGAAUUGCAUUUGAAACUGGCAAACUAGAGUACUGUAGAGGGGGUAGAAUUUCAGGUGUAGCGGUGAAAUGCGUAGAGAUCUGAAGGAAUACCGGUGGCGAAGGCGGCCCCCUGGACAGAUACUGACACUCAGAUGCGAAAGCGUGGGGAGCAAACAGGAUUAGAUACCCUGGUAG
rnacentral:rRNA from 1 species